rnacentral:rRNA from 1 species
AUUGAACGCUGGCGGCAGGCUUAACACAUGCAAGUCGAGCGAGCGGCGGACGGGUGAGUAAUGUCUGGGAAACUGCCUGAUGGAGGGGGAUAACUACUGGAAACGGUAGCUAAUACCGCAUAUCCUCAAAUGUGCCCAGAUGGGAUGUGCUAGUAGGUGGGGUAAUGGCUCACCUAGGCGACGAUCCCGAGCUGGUCUGAGAGGAUGACCAGCCACACAGUAACGGAGACACGGUCCAGACGCCUACGGGAGGCAGCAGGGGAGAAUAUGGCACGAUGGGCGCAAGCCUGAUACGGACAUGCCGAGUGUGUGAAGAAGGCCUUCGGGUUGUAAAGCACUGUCAUCGAGGAGGCGGUACUCGCAGAAGAAGCACCGGCUAACUCCGUGCCAGCAGCCGCGGUAAUUC